rnacentral:rRNA from 1 species
UACGAAGGGGGCUAGCGUUGCUCGGAAUCACUGGGCGUAAAGGGCGUGCAGGCGGUCGACUAAGUCUGGCGUGAAAGCUCUCGGCUAAACCGGGAGAGGUCGUUGGAUACUGGUUGACUAGAGGACGGUAGAGGCGUGUGGAAUUCCGGGUGUAGUGGUGAAAUGCGUAGAGAUCCGGAGGAACACCAGUGGCGAAGGCGACACGCUGGGCCGUACCUGACGCUGAUACGCGACAGCAUGGGGAGCGAACGGG